GAUAGAAUAGAUUGUGGACAGGAAAGCAGAGGGACAGAGAGAUAUAGGGCCCUUAUUGUUUUUUGUGAGACAGGACAGUGGAGGAGAGACAGGAAGCGAGCUGGGAGAGAGAGACGGGGAAGGACCGGCAAAGGACCCGGACCGGGAAUCGAACCCGGGUCAGCCAAAUGGAUAGUGGUGGAAAGAGGAAAGGAGUGGAGAGAGAGAGAUGGGGAAGGAUUGGCAAAUGACCUGGGCCGGAAUCGAAAUCGGGUCGCCAGCGUAGUAACCCAGUGCCCUACCAUUAGGCCACGGCAAGGCCCUAACUCAAGAGUAACUUAACCUGGUUUACUACUGAGCCUGGUUCUUGGAACACCGCCCCACAAGUUGUGUGCAACCGUAGUUGGUGGUGAAGAGUGGCCGUGAAGUGUUUGUGAACAUUAACAGCCAAAGUGGCAGGAGCUGGAGGAGGUUUUGAGGUGGGGAUGCCAUUAACAAGCCGCAAGUUGCCUUUGUGGCCUGACUUGACCAUGCCGUAUGAAUGUUGCAUGCAUGUAGGCUAGUAGAGGAGGGAGACAAGAGGAGGAGGAGGAUGAGUAGGAGAAUGAGGACGAGGAGUAGGUGCAGUCUCUCAUCUCUACACCUUAACAACAUGCCUGAUGGACUCAGACAAGAAACAACAAGAAACUCAUAUGGAUUUGGUAUGCAGUAAAACGCAGCAUUGAUUCAACACUUAGAAAGAUAUUUAAAAUCUAGUUCGGCCUACUCCAAAGUGCUGAAUUAACACAGUUUUAUUUACAUUCGGAUGUAACAUUGUACACACAUACAGUCAUGAGGGGAACCCUCCAUGGCUUUGACUGGUAAUUAGCGCUUGGCUCCAGAGGAGACAUGAUGAUAAUGAGGAGGAGGAGGAGAAGGAGAUGCACUCUCCCACCUCAAAAGCAGGAGACUUGGUUGUAUGUAUUGCACACAGAUAUGUGUAAUUACCAUAGUAUAAAAAAAUCAAGACAUGUGACUGCACGCACAUACACAAAUACACGCAAGCACAAAGAAGUGCACAGACAAAUAGAUGCGC